UACAGAGGUCUCAAGCGUUGUUCGGAUUCAUUGGGCGUAAAGGGUGCGUAGGUGGCGCGCUAAGUCAGGUGUGAAAUUUCGGAGCUUAACUCCGAAACUGCAUUUGAUACUGGCGUGCUUGAGGACUGGAGAGGAGACUGGAAUUCACGGUGUAGCAGUGAAAUGCGCAGAUAUCAGGAAGAACACCUAUGGCGAAGGCAGCUCUCUGGGACGGUACUGACGCUGAGGUGCGAAAGCCAGGGGAGCGAACGGG
rnacentral:rRNA from 1 species